rnacentral:misc_RNA from 1 species
GAUGAAGAACGCAGCGAAAUGCGAUAAGUAAUGUGAAUUGCAGAAUUCAGUGAAUCAUCGAAUCUUUGAACGCACAUUGCGCCCGCCAGUAUUCUGGCGGGCAUGCCUGUUCGAGCGUCAUUUCAACCAUCAAGCCCCCGGGCUUGUGUUGGGGACCUGCGGCUGCCCGCAGGCCCUGAAAACCAGUGGCGGGCUCGCUGUCACACCGAGCGUAGUAGCAUCAUCUCGCUCAGGGCGUGCUGCGGGUUCCGGCCGUUAAAAAGCCUCUAAUACCCAAGGUUGACCUCGGAUCAGGGAGGAAGACCCGCUGAACUUAAGCAUAUCAAUAAGCGGAGGA